AGCAAAAUGCUGGAAUGCCUUUAUAUUUAUGGCCUCUAGUGGCUGAAAUUUUGCAGAAGUUAGAAUUACUACUUAUCUUUCUAUUCUCAAAACGGAGAGAAAACUUUUCAUUCCUCAAAAGACACAAGACAGUGCAGAGUCACAAGUUCAGAAUAGUUCAGAACCGCCCUUGUUUCUCCUCUUGGAAAGAUCAUCUCCUUAAUUUCUCUAAGGAAGGAUGGGAACCAAGAAGACAGGAGGACGUUAUCUUUGUCACACAAGGAUAACAAUAUGGUUCAAGAAAUAUUCAAAUAACUAUCCCAAUAUAACAGAAUGCAAUUAUCCAACAACUCAGUUGUUAGGGCUGAGAAGUGUGGCAUCAUCCCUUGACUCCUAUAUUGUCCCAAACUUUGAUAUUAGAUAAGGAACUUUCCACUUUUGUCAUUAUUUACAAAUUAUUUCUUUUUUCAAAUAUAAAUUAAAUCGUUUCAUUAUUCUCACAAAUUUCAUUGUAAAUUUGGCAAAAAUGUCUUGGUGUGAGAAGAAUGAAAUGGUAACAUAUGGUAUUUUUUCUGAUAUAACUUGUAUACUUAAGACUGAAGAUAUGUUAUGUAUACAUUGAUAUUAAAGCUGCUUUCAGUUAUCAUAAAAUAUCAGUCUAACUGUUAAAUUAUUCUUUUGAAAUACUUAAAUCUUAGCAAAUACGCAUGUUACACCACUGAUAUUUUUGUUACCUCGCCUGUUACACCACUGAACUUUCUGCAACUUACUGGAGCAAUAAACCAAAUCAACAGCCAUAUGAUGCUUUGAAUUACUUAAUAAUCAUCAUUUUAGAACGAUUUUCCAAAAUGUGGCAUGGAAAAACAAAUAAUAUCAACAGGUAAGGAUAAAAUGUACAAAUUCAAAGAAUUUUAUGACACCAAUGGCAUAUUGUGUUACACCACUGAUUUUUCUUGACCUUACUCCAAAGAUAAAUCCAAAUUAAUUGCCUUUAGUUGAUAAUUAACAGAUUUGAGCAGCUCAAUAGCAAAUUCUCUGAACACUCAGAGUCAGAUUUUAAAAGGUUUUCAAAAAUAUAUUUAAAGAAAUAAAAUGAACAUAUUGUAGUAAUAUUGUUACACCAAUGACAUCAUUUGUUACAUCACUGAUAUUUCUUGAAUUAACUACAAGGAUAAAUCCAAAUUAAUUGCCUUUAGUUGAUAAUUAACAGAUUUGAACAGCUCAAUAGCAAAUUCUUAACACUCAGAUUUUAAAAGGUUUUUCAAAAAUAAUAUUAUAAUAAUAUAAUAAUAAUAAUAAAAUGAACAUAUUGUAGUAAUAUUAUUACACCAAUGACAUCUUUUGUUACCCCACUGAUUUAUCUGGAAUUAACUUCCA